AGAACCCAUAUUCAAGAAAAAACCAUCAGCCAGCCAAAAAAAAAAAUUAGUCUUAAGAAGCCAUAAGGAGCAACAGCAGGCAUAGCCCAAAGCAACUAUAGUGGAAGAUGACUCCAAUAAUAAAAGGUAUCGUGAGAGAAUCGAGCAAAUUUCGAAGUUUAUAGAAACUAGCUAGAUAUUUAUGCUAUACAACAAGAACCAGUCAUUGAGUAGGU
rnacentral:lncRNA from 1 species